GGGAUUACAGCUGAGGGUAACUGGAAGAAGCCGAGAAUUCCUCUGCUCUGCCUUCGGGAGGAGGGGAUGAGAGAAGCAGGGAAGACCAGCAGCAAUCUCUCCAAAAGAGAAGUUCCUCCAGCUCCUAGGAUGCGCAAGAUAGUAUAGACAAAAGAUGGAAAGAGGACAACCUAGGACCCCAGGGAGUCCCUGGUAUAGAUAUCAGGAGCCUAGGUCCCCUGUCUGGAACUGCUCUAGGGGAGUCAUGAUAGUAGCUAACAUUCAUUAAAUGUUUGCUCUGUGCCAGGCACCCUGCUCAGAACUCAGGUGCACUGUGAAGACAGUUUCUACAGGGGCUGAGAACAUA
rnacentral:lncRNA from 1 species